UACAGAGGGGGCAAGCGUUGUUCGGAAUUACUGGGCGUAAAGGGCGCGUAGGCGGCCUUCUAAGUCGAACGUGAAAUCCCCGGGCUCAACCCGGGAACUGCGUCCGAUACUGGAAGGCUUGAAUCCGGGAGAGGGAUGCGGAAUUCCAGGUGUAGCGGUGAAAUGCGUAGAUAUCUGGAGGAACACCGGUGGCGAAGGCGGCAUCCUGGACCGGCAUUGACGCUGAGGCGCGAAAGCGUGGGUAGCAAACAGG
rnacentral:rRNA from 1 species